AACGAACGCUGGCGGCAUGCCUAACACAUGCAAGUCGAACGAUGCCUCCGGGCAUAGUGGCGCACGGGUGCGUAACGCGUGGGAAUCUGCCCUUGGGUUCGGAAUAACUCGCCGAAAGGCGAGCUAAUACCGGAUGAUGACGUAAGUCCAAAGAUUUAUCGCCCAAGGAUGAGCCCGCGUAGGAUUAGCUAGUUGGUGGGGUAAAGGCCCACCAAGGCAACGAUCCUUAGCUGGUCUGAGAGGAUGAUCAGCCACACUGGGACUGAGACACGGCCCAGACUCCUACGGGAAGCAGCAGUGGGGAAUAUUGGACAAUGGGCGAAAGCCUGAUCCAGCAAUGCCGCGUGAGUGAUGAAGGCCUUAGGGUUGUAAAGCUCUUUUACCCGGGAUGAUAAUGACAGUACCGGGAGAAUAAGCUCCGGCUAACUCCGUG
rnacentral:rRNA from 1 species